CAGCAAUUGAUGUUAGGUUAGAUUGUACCACUUUUUGUUCUUAAUCUUAAUUUGUGGUGAUUAAUGAAAAAUGUAUAUCAUAUAAACUGUUUAUUAUUAUAUUAACAACAAACUUGUAUAUAAACUAAUUUUUUUUAUUAACAAAGUAUACUAUCAGUACUCAUUUCGUAAUGAUUUUAAUUAAGAUAAUCAGUUCAAAGUGUCUUUAACAAUACCAUUUAUUACGAUGGAAAGUUAUUUAAUAUAAAUUUAUUAAAUAAUAUCGACGAAAACAAUGUAUUUUCAUCUAGUAAUUGUAAUGCCUCAUUCUUAUUGAAAUUUGUUAAGUUAUAAAGCAUUAAAUAUAUUUCAGAUGAUCGUAUUAUUACAAAAAUUUUUAAAAGAAUACUAUUAAUAUUUUGUAUUAUGUCUCACUUUUUUCCAAAAAAAUUUAUGAAUAAAUUUAAUAUAAUUAA